rnacentral:rRNA from 1 species
UGGGGGAAUAUUGGACAAUGGGCGCAAGCCUGAUCCAGCAAUGCCGCGUGUGUGAAGAAGGCCUUCGGGUUGUAAAGCACUUUUAUCAGGAAGCGAAACGCUGUCGGCUAAUACCCGGCGGAACUGACGGUACCUGAGGAAUAAGCACCGGCUAACUUCGUGCCAGCAGCCGCGGUAAUACGAAGGGUGCAAGCGUUAAUCGGAAUUACUGGGCGUAAAGCGUGCGUAGGCGGUUUCUUAAGUCUGCUGUGAAAUCCCCGGGCUCAACCUGGGAAUGGCAGUGGAUACUGGGAGGCUAGAGUGUGUCAGAGGGUGGUGGAAUUCCCGGUGUAGCGGUGAAAUGCGUAGAGAUCGGGAGG